UCCGACUUAACGUCGGCAGUCUCGUUAGAGUGCCCAACUUAAUGCUGGCAACUAACGACAGAGGUUGCGCUCGUUGCGGGACUUAACCCAACAUCUCACGACACGAGCUGACGACAGCCAUGCAGCACCGUCUCACCGGCUCCUCAAGAGGCACCCCCACAUCUCUGCGGGGUUCCGGUGGAUUUAACCCAGGUAAGGUUCUGCGCGUUGCGUCGAAUUGAACCACAUGCUCCACCGCUUGUGCAGGCCCCCGUCAAUUUCUUUGAGUUUUAACCUUGCGGCCGUACUCCCCAGGCGGAGAACUUAAUGCGUUAGCUGCGCCACCGAAACCCUAAGGGCCCCGACAGCUAGUUCUCAUCGUUUACGGCGUGGACUAC
rnacentral:misc_RNA from 1 species